rnacentral:lncRNA from 1 species
GAAAACAGUAGAGGAGGGUGUUGGGUGAAAGGUGGGAUAACUCCUAUGUUCCCAUAUAAUCCCCACGCUUUUUCUUAGGAUGCUCAGUUAUCUUGCUCUCAGACUCUCUCCUUGAUCAUGAAAACUCUUUUAUGGUCAAAUGCCCUAACAGUGUUCACUGUACUUCCACAGCUUAACUGGCCUUCAGACUCUAUCAUCCAGUGAGUACAAGAGAGACUUCAGUCUGUCUCAGGUGCUCUCAGUUGUGCUGUGUGUGGUUUAUCAGUCAUGGAUGAACGUCAACAUGAGGCCGUUCCCAGACCAGCGAGAGCGAGCACCAGCAGGAAGGCAGAUGAAUACUUAAAGCCUAGCCUAGGCAAGAAAAAUCUGAUGAGCUUUUUACUAGGCAGACAGCUGGGAAGGCAGAAGAGUGAUUCAGAAAUGUCAAAGUGGCUGUGGAUGGUGACCCGAGGAACUCCAGGGUGGAGUUGGCCUUUGCCAAAUCACCACAUUACUUACAUGCUUAUGCCCACCCCAAAUCAUUCCAAAUGCUUCCAAAAGAGUGGAAAAUAAAAUUUCUCCUUGUGUCGG